GACGUAGGGGGCCAGCGUUGCUCGGAAUUACUGGGUGUAAAGGGUUCGUAGGCGGUGUGGCAAGUCGGGAGUGAAAUCUCUGGGCUCAACCCAGAGUCUGCUUCCGAAACUGCUGUGCUUGAGUGUGGGAGAGGCGCGUGGAAUUGCAGGUGUAGCGGUGAAAUGCGUAGAUAUCAGGAGGAACACCGGUGGUGUAAACGGCUUUCUGGACCAUAACUGACGCUGAGGCACGAAAGCGUGGGUAGCAAACAG
rnacentral:rRNA from 1 species